CCUACGGGAGGCAGCAGUGAGGAAUAUUGGUCAAUGGGCGCGAGCCUGAACCAGCCAAGUCGCGUGAAGGAUGACUGCCCUACGGGUUGUAAACUUCUUUUAUAAGGGAAUAAACUCAGGCCCGUGUGUCUUUCUGUACGUACUUUAUGAAUAAGGAUCGGCUAACUCCGUGCCAGCAGCCGCGGUAAUACGGAGGAUUCGAGCGUUAUCCGGAUUUAUUGGGUUUAAAGGGAGCGUAGAUGGUUUGUUAAGUUAGAUGUGAAAUUCUGCGGCUCAACCGUAAAAUUGCAAUUGAUACUGGCAGUCUUGAGUACAGUUGAGGUAGGCGGAAUUCGUGGUGUAGCGGUGAAAUGCUUAGAUAUCACGAAGAACACCGAUUGCGAAGGCAGCUUACUAAGCUGCUACUGACAUUGAUGCUCGAAAGUGUGGGGAUCAAACAGGAUUAGAUACCCGAGUAGUC
rnacentral:rRNA from 1 species